AUACAAACAACAAUUUCAGCAUGACAUGCCUGUUUGGCGGCGAUGGUGGUGCCUGUUGCUCCUGGAGAACAAUUCUUUGAACAGGUAGACAGUUUAAGUAAACUAGAUGUCCUAAUUAACUGGAAGACAAUCAAUAUAUUGUACUUAAAGACAUAUUGUCAUUACAGUUGUGGGAAAAUCUUCGCCCACUGGACCAAAGAAUGUCAAGAGCUCAUUGCUGGAAAGCAUACUCCGGUCUUCAGUCUAAAGAGGAAGGCAGAGCAGCAGGACAUAGAGGUUAGAAAAUUGCCUUGUAAAAACAGUAUUAUCUCAGUGGGAGUCCUUCAAAAUGCACACAGUUGUAUGGAUCAACAUUGUCUCGAUGUAUUUGGUAAUUGAUGUUACUUUUCAAAUUGCCAUGUCAAGGAAACCAUGACGCAGACGGUAUCGGAUGUCCAAAGGAUGUGCAUGGCAGAUUCAAUGCAAUUCUGUGUCUACCAGACAUCGAACAACACAGGAGAGAGGUGUGUUGCAGACUCAAUUUAAUAAAUGCAAUUAUCGGGGCCUAUUCAGUGAUUUUCCAUGAAGUGACCACUUUUACAUAUAGUUUAAAUGCACGAAUCAUGCAGGAAAAUUAUUUAUACAUUCAAAUGUGCUGCAGAGGUAUAAUCAAUUGGACAGCGUGUUUGUUUAAUAUUAUGUUUGUCUCUCAUUUGAUCAGUUUGCUUUACCCUGAGGUAAACGUCAUAAAAUGGGUCCAGUGCAAGACGUGCAGGGGCUGGCUGCAUCAGGAUUGUGCUGGGAUUGAAAUGGAGCCGUUUGACAGCGGGUGCGAGGACUCCAUUGAGCAUCCUCGGUAUAACAUAAUUUAUCAAGGAAACAUAGUAUCAGUCAAAAAUACGAGGCUCAAAGGAUGAAAAAAUGAGGGCUUGCUCUUUUCUUAUUUCUCUGCAGGAUCAAGGAUGCUGUUGACAGUUGAGGAAUUCAUGCUGUCUUUUCUAAGACACAGAUCAAGGUUGCUUUUGAAUGCACUAUCAGUUGUUAAAGCCACCGUUUCUUUUUCAGAUGAUUACAUUUUUGUCUCUUGCUCUUUGGUUUCAGACAUUACACGAUGAUCUACUGUCUGGAAAGAUCAGCUCCAACAGAAUGUUCCUUUGGAGGAAUCCCGCCACCUCACUCCGACUAAAGCAGCAUCUUAAGAUAAGGACACUAAGUUGGAGUGAGCAGCGCGUAAGUAAAAAUGCCAUCCAUCAUGAGUAUUUUUACUCUCAGGGGUGUUACAUUUGUAAGGUGUUUACUUUCUGUGUUUUUCUUCAAUAGAUGUUCGAGCUCCUGCGGUUUAUUGAGGUGGCAACAAACAUUUCUAAAAAAAUAAAGAGAGGCGAGAUUUAUCUGCUUGAUUUCGUUUUUGACGUCAUGCUCCCAGAGGUGAGUAGAUCAAACUAUAUAGCUUGCUUUGAAAAUUGAUGAUAUUGUUAAGAGGUUGUUCUUAUUCAUUUGGAAAGCUCAAGAACAACAAUUAACCCAUACUGCAUAACUUCAAUUGUUCACAUUAUUUGACUGUUUUUCAGCUUUUGAUCAAAGCACUGAAGGAGCAUGGCAUCAACCGGUUCAGAGCAGAGCUGAUGAUGGCCUGUGGCAACGUGUUUUAAGCCCCCCACCACACCGACGGCAGUGCUGAAUUUUGUAUAUAUAUAUUUUUUUUUACUGUUCACAAUUUUGUUUGGAAAAAAUUAAAGAAAUCUUCAAAGCAGUUGUAUGACAAUUUCCCAUUUCUUUACACAGUCUGUAAUGAUAUCG